ACCCUAAAUCAUUUCCCCUUUCUGCCAUUUGAAGCUGCGCUGUGGCCUCCCUUUCUAUACCGUUCCAAUUCUAUUUCCAAUCGGCCACACCAACGACAGCACCUCGACGGCGCACCGCCACCGGUGCAGAGGUCGUGGAAGAGGCAUGCGACGUGGAGGCUUGCACGACGUGCGUGGAAAGUGACAAUCGUUGGCACACACGCGCGGUGCGGACCCGAUGAUUGCGGCGCCACUGAAACUGCACUAGGGCUUCUCGAUCCUUCCUCUGCUAUUGAUUUCAGGCUACUGUUUGGGCUCAUUUAGUAAUGGGCUGUUAAUUAUUUGUUUUGCUUUAGCCAGGCCAAAAUUGGCCUAUUACACUGAUCUAUUCAAAUCUCUAUUUCAUUGUAACCAGAACAGGUUACAGAUAGUUUUCAUGUUCAUAAA